UGGUUUUAAGCAGGCCAUUGCACCGUUCAACUUUCCCUGCAGCUGGUGCAUGGUGAAUUAUUAAAAAAA